rnacentral:rRNA from 1 species
UGGGUGAGUAAUGUCUGGGAAACUGCCUGAUGGAGGGGGAUAACUACUGGAAACGGUAGCUAAUACCGCAUAACGUCGCAAGACCAAAGAGGGGGACCUUCGGGCCUCUUGCCAUCGGAUGUGCCCAGAUGGGAUUAGCUAGUAGGUGGGGUAACGGCUCACCUAGGCGACGAUCCCUAGCUGGUCUGAGAGGAUGACCAGCCACACUGGAACUGAGACACGGUCCAG